AGUUGAUCAUGGCUCAGACGAACGUUGGCGGCGUGGAUUAGGCAUGCAAGUCGAACGAGAACCAGCCCUGUAGCAAUACAGGGCUGGGGAAAGUGGCGAAAGGGGCAGUAAUGCGUGGGUAACGUACCCUGGGGAUGGGCAUAGCUACGGGAAACCGUAGGUAAUUCCCAGCGAUUCGGCCGAAGGGCAUCCUUCGGCCGGGAAAUGAAUUUCGCCUCGGGAGCGGCUCACGUCGUAUUAGCUAGUUGGUGGGGUCACGGCCCACCAAGGCAAAGAUGCGUAGCGGGUGUGAGAGCACGACCCGCGCCACUGGCACUGAGACACUGGCCAGACACCUACGGGUGGCUGCAGUCGAGGAUCUUCGGCAAUGGGCGCAAGCCUGACCGAGCGACGCCGCGUGUGCGAAGAAGGCCUUCGGGUUGAAGCACCUGUCGAGGGGGAGGAAGUCCGUUAAAUCGGAUUGACCUAUCCCUGGAGGAAGCACGGGCUAAGUUCGUGCCAGCAGCCGCGGUAAGACGAACCGUGCGAACGUUGUUCGGAUUCACUGGGCUUAAAGGGCGCGUAGGCGGGCAAGCAAGUCCGGGGUGAAAUCUUUCGGCUUAACCGGAAAAGUGCCUUGGAUACUGCUUGUCUAGAGGGAGCUAGGGGCCGUUGGAACUUCCGGUGGAGCGGUGAAAUGCGUUGAUAUCGGAAGGAACGCCGGUGGCGAAAGCGAACGGCUGGAUCUCUUCUGA
rnacentral:rRNA from 1 species